UUCCCCUUCCCCUUCCCCUUCCCCUUCCUUUCCCCUUUCCCAAAACUGACUAAUUUUAACAAAGAAGUGCUAGAAGGAGACAUUCAGGCUCUCAGAAGCUUUUGACUGAAUUAUCCCAAACUUCAAAAAAACUUCAUCUUGUCUCCUUUCAGCAGUAACUGAGAGGUGAGCUACUGCUCAGAAAACUCAGUUGAAUUAUAAAGCAUUAUAAAGCAAAUGGCAAAGGAGGAAGCAAUAAAGCAGGGCAUCCUGCUUCCUUGGCGUUAUAUAAAAGAUGUUAUUUGUUUCAAGAUGCAGAGCAGAUGAAGGCACAGUGGAUGAGCUCAGUUCAUCCAGCAAAAGAGCAUGUCUUCACCUGCACUUUACUUUCCCAGACAGUAGGAUUUUGCAUGAAAAAUACAUGUAGGAAAUUGUAAAUAAAUGAAUGUAUGUCCCUUUUCUGCCCCUGCUGUCUUUAAAGAAAAGAACCUCAAAAUUACAUUUUUAAGACUAACUUGAUUUUAGGCACAAAAGAAGUAGAAAAGAUUACCUGCAUCUUAGUGAUUAUGCUUUUUAAUCCCAUAAUAGAUUAGGUCACACAUAGUGUAGCAUUAACUGCAACAAAAAAUUCUGAUUGCAGGGUAUGACUUUAUGUUUAAAUGAAUGAUGGAACUUUUGGAGGGAAAGAGAAAAGAGAGAGAUUUGUAUAUAUUAGUAUUGGGAGUGGAUCUGCUUUCAAAAUGACAGGCUUUUCCAUUCACAUUUAAAGAAAAUAAGGUUGAUAUAUGAACCCUUCAAAAUUCCUAAAGUUGUAAACUCUAGCCUUUUCAUUAACAAAAUCAAAAUCCAGUGUCCCAAAAAUAAAGCAUCACAGUAACAUGUUUAUAACAGAUAUUGUAUUGCAUACAGGAAGUAUAUAAAAAGAUAGGUUCAUUUAAAACAAGCUUAAUUUCAAAGCAAAUAUUUUGCAGUUGCAAACCUCUCAAAAAUUUGCUUUCUAAUGGAAAUAUGGACUCAUUUUUAUACGGAAAGCAUUUAAAAUCACCGCUAAAACGAAAUAAGAUGUACUUUGCAAUUACCCUUUGUUUCUGGAGGCUGUUGUGGUUUGAAAAUUUAUGGUGUCAUCAGUGGGGAAGGACAAUGCCUGGUGCAUUGAUGGGCAUCUUGUUCUUCCUUGACCGAGAUUCAGCAGGGGAGGGUGUGCAAGGGGGAGGGUAAAGCUGCUUCACGUGGUUGCCCUCGACCCCUUAGUGCUCCCUACAAUACUGCUGUUAACAAAUGCUCCAAAUAAAAGUAUUUAAGGCAGCUCUCUGCACUGCCCCAGCUUGCUGAGUUGCACAGCACAUACCAUAAGCAAGAGAACAAGGUAUUUCUAAGCUCCAGGAGUACUUCUGAGUGCACUCCACACAGCAGGGUAAUAGUGGUCAGUGAUGCCUUCAGCUCAAAUAAAAAGGUGGUACCAGUUAUAAAUACUUAAAUCCAAGGGAUUCCAUAUUCUGUGUUGUUGGUGUCGAUUUUUUUUGCCUUUCCUUUUCUUUUUUUGUGUUUUGUUUGUUUAUUUGUUUGUUUUUGGGGUUUUGUUUGUGUUUUGUUGUUGUUUUUAUUUGUUUGUUUGUUUGUUUGUUUGUUUUUUAAUGACUUCCAAUAUUACCAAGCACAGCAAAAUGGCAGGAUAUUUGGAAACUGUGACACAGCCUUAAACACACUCAUCACUGCUUGUUUGUGAAUUCCCACCAGACCUGUCUUCUCUCUGGGCAAUCCGCAGAGAAGAUGCCUGAGGUCACUAGUGCCUUCAAACCCUGUGGGGACAGAAGGGUUCUUUGUGGAUCUUUGGCAGAAUAAUGGUGGCACGGAACUGUAGUUGUGGUUAAAACUUUAUUUUCUUAACAGAUUGUUAUUAGUAGUACAGCACAGAAUUUAUUAUUAGAAUGGCACAGAGUUUCUACAAGCAGAAUCAAUGUAGCAAGACUUACAAGUAACAAAAUAUAGAGUUUAUAAUAAAACUGAUCUUACGUGCAGAGCUCUGUGCUUCUCCACUUCCCUCCCCUGUGCUGGUGCCAUCACCACCACCGGGCCAGACAGUACUUGAGACCUUCCAGGAGAGGAAGAAGAAAUCUGUGUGGUUUAUUUACUUCGUGCACAGGCCCUUCAGGGCCUGACAAUGAGGUGAUGUGAAUUAAUCCAUGACUUGCUCGGUCACAGAGAAUGGCCAUUUGCCUCAUGAGGUGGGAUUAAUUGUGCCAACCACAUUACCAGGGUUGGGAGCAGGGGUACCAGUCACAACUAGCUGCCAGAGCUGGUCCUUCAACUCAUGCAGCUGAGGUCAGCUUGGAAACUGAGGUCCCAGAGACUCCCUAUGUGUCCUUCUUUGUCAUCCAAUCCUACCUGGAGCUCCUAUCAGAACUAGGCUGUACAGACAUUAAAUACCGUGCAUGUUUUCCUUCAAGGAACAUAAAGGACUCAUCUAUACUUUUCAUCCUCAAAACCAAGCAGAAACAUCAGGUGCAUGCUGCUCUGGGCUCCAAUGACCAAACACCAUCAGCUGGUCCAGUUUUAUCCCCAUUGCAUCUUCCCUCUCUUCAGGAAGAUUAUGAAACCACAGCAACUCCUCAUCAACAGCAUCUCCUGCUCAUUUCUGCAGCUUCUGGCACACAGGGCAGGACCUUGGGAAGGAGCUCCAGACCAGAGCUUGGAAUUUCCCACCUGAAUUUGGGUAGCCAGCUUAACUGAACCUGAAAGACUGAGACUGGAUACUGAGAGAGUUUAGCUUCAAGAAAGAAAUGACAGGAUUGUCUCAAGGCACAGUGAACUCUUGAAUUGACAUUCCUGAAAGUUCCAAUAAUUUCUUGCUUUAUUAAUGUCCUUACCUGAAAACAAGCUUGCACACAGUGCCUGACCUUACAUUUCACCGCUUCGUAAGGUCCACAAUAUCGACAAUAGAAAGGAACAAAUGGAGCAGCAAACUUCGAUUGGUUUUCGAUCUGUCUUCAGAAGGCAUCUGAAUGCUGGUUUCCUGUUUUGACUGAGUAUGUUCUUUGAUUGUAUAAUAAAGGCAAAAUGUGACCAUCUUUUGGCUUGUACAGAUAAAAAAUCACAAUUAUUAGGACUAGAGAAGAUCUCAAAUAUCUCUUCCGAUAUCUGAAAUAUAUGUCCUGUACAAAGAAUGGAAAAAUAUGGAUGUUUCUUCUUCUUCAUUUGCUGACUAUAAUUUCCCUUAAAGAAAAGAGCUUCUUUGCAAGAAUUGGCAGAAUCAGCUUCACAACUAACUACACUGCUGGAAAUUCAAACUCCUGGCUCCAGUGUUUUGGGGAUUUAUGUCUGAAUAUUGAGUGCAGGUCUAAUAAUGGUGCUAACUGAGGACAUUUUGCUGCUGGUCAUGAUUGUGCGCACCUUCCCCACACAUAAAUUGAUGAUCCAGGUACAUGGGAUUUAUGAUGAAAUGCAGUCUUCAUUUGCCUCUCUGGUUUUAGUGCUGGCACCUGAAAUUAUUUGAGGCAUAAGUUAAAACAGACUGUGCCAGACAAUGGGUGUCAAAAUUUCACCAUGAGAUGUUUGAAAUACAGAUUUCAUCUUUCUGUUCAUCCAUGCAUGCACCCAAAAUGGCAAAGCAGAAAACAUCACUGGGGAGAAAACCAGAAAUUGUGGUGUUGGAGAAGCUCACAGAGGAAGGCAUGUUGCCUCUUAGAGUCCUUCAAACCCUAAGCAAUUGUCUACCACAUACUUGAACAAGAGUAUAGACGAAAAGAAGAAUGGCUCGGAAGGAGGAUCAAACCUUUAUCACAAUCUGACCCUUCCUCAUCUGAAUGUAUUUCUUCAAAUCUCCACUUGAGGCCUUUCCUUUUAUAUAAACUCUAUACUAUAACCUAAAGGAAAAACUGAUAGUACCCAAGCUUAGGAUACAGCAACAUGCCCAGAAGAGCUUGUUCUGGAAAAACAGCCACAUGCCUCUUGAUGUUAGUUAUAAUAUAGAAUUCAACAGACAACCAACCACUAUUGGAUCCUCCAACCAGAGAGUACAUCUAGUUUUGGGAGGAUGUCAGCCUACACCCAAAGGGAGACUCCUGAUCACUAGGAAUGAUGGGUGAAACACCUUUUCCUCCAAACUAGGCCACUACAUUUAUAGAAAUGAUCAAGUGAGCAAGGAAGAGACAGCUCGAUGGCUCUAUGAACCUGUCUGAGGGGUCACUGCUUCAGAAGAGGAAAGCCCUGGGACCCGGCUCCUUGUGGUCCUGACCUGUGUCCCAUGCAGCCCCACUCAUUGUCCUACGGCCAGAGCCCUGCUAUGUCUCACCUGACAGUAACCUAUCUUCUUGUCUCUUUUCUUCUCAGCCCCGAGGAUCUUGCUUUCCAGCCCUUUGCUAAGGGUCUCCUGUGGAAAGGAUCCAGGGCAAUGUCUUCUAAAUAAAAAAGUGUUUAAACUCCGGUUCCUGUUAUUGCUUCUCCUAUUUCCUCUCCUUAAAAUUGUCUGAAACCAGAUCCCCUGUCGUCACUAUUUUCUCUUUUUAUUCCCUCAGUAGUCUAACUAGGUGCUGACACUUAAUUGAAGUUCACUCUGUUUCAUGUGCUGCCUCGGGAACAUCUAGUUUGGAGGAAUGGAUCACCUCUGAGCCUAUGCACAAAAAUUUAGGAAAAGUGAUGUGCCUGGUGUGUGCUGGAUCUUGAAAUAAAUACAAAAAAAAUGGACGAGAGAGCAGAAUUACAUUUUGGCAUUUCAAAAGUGCAGUUCCUUAGAGUAUUUUUUACAGACCUUAAUAGAAACAAAGUGGUUGAUGUACCUAAAAUGUAAAAUGUAUUUCUUUACACUUCAAAAUCCAUCAGACAUGGGACCCAACUGAGCUGUCUUCAAGAAGCACUCAUAUUUUUAUUCUGCUCUAUAUUUAAGAUGACAACUCACUUGGUACAUGCAUAUAUAGACUAAAAUUCUCUGGUUUUGCCUGUUCAUUUUAAUGAUCUGCAAGAAGAAAGCAAAGAGUCAUUCUUCCCAUUACAAGGAAGGACACCUACUGAAAACUCUCUUGGGAAAAUUGUUGUAAAGUUCCUUUGAUUUUGAAACACUUUCCUAUUUGCAUUGAUCUUGACCUUCAGUAUACUUACUUUGUAAGAAAAUGGAAGACAAUCUUAGCUUCUUUAAGUAUAAAGGAAAGAGAAUUGGCUAUACGUGCUAGAAGUAGUGUGGCUGUUGCUGGUUUUGAACAUGACAUCCUACGCAGUGGAGCAGCAGGAAGGGAAGUUGAUGUAGUACAUGUCAACAUACACAUAGAGGAGCACAAAAUGACAAUUCCUUUUAAUUUCAGAGAAACAUGAAGAGCAAAAAGAUUGUUGUCCUGAGGCUUGCCUUUCUCUAGCUUUACAUUUGUAUGAUUCUUCUCCUUUUUAUUUAUUUAUUUAUUUAUUUUUAAUAGAAAAAAGACUGAGAAAUAUAUUUUGGAGGAGCAUAUGUGUGUGUCUGCCGGUAGAUUACACAGCAGUGCUAUUUUAUUUAUUGUUUUUAGUCUCCACUCUCAUAUAUGUUGCUUCCAACUUGCUUAAAAAUUCUCACAGUCAGAUUUCAGAGUCCAGAUACCUUUUGAAAACUAACCAGACAAAAGAUGAAGCAGGUCAGACCUGGUUCCUCCCUCCAAAACAUUGUGAUGGCCUGCAAUACCAUGCUGGGCUUGGAGCUGAAGCUGGAAAACAAAACAUUUUCAGCCUGGUAAAAGGAUGCCAUGUUCAAGGACUGCUUUGGAGAAAUGCUCCUGUUUCAUAUCUGCAUCAUGGAAGGGACCUCAGCUGAUCCAAAGAGAGGAAAAGUUAAAAAAAGAGGUGCUGUCACCUUCUCACUGCAAGGAGAUGCUGUUGGAGGUACUCCCUACAUCAGGCUGGGGGGCUAGGUCAAAUGUGGGUGUUGGUCUGUCCAGGAGCCUACACCCUCCCUUCCUUCUUACCAAAAGAGAGCAAAAAGUGAUGAAAAGGGGCUUUGAUACAGCUUCAUCAGUCAGCACACUGUGGGGCAUGUGGCUGUCCCCAGCAGGUGGGGGUCCUCAUACCCUGAGAUGAUCUUGUUUUAGUCCCUUUAGUGCUGAGCUAAUGCCUUUUCACAGAAUCAUAGAAUGUCCUGAGUUGGAAGGGACCCACAAGGAUAAUUGAGUCCAGCUCCUGUCCCUGCACAGGACAACCCCACAGUUCACACCGUGUGUCUGAGGACGUUGUCCAGUCUCUUCUUGAACACUGUCAGGUUGUGGCCGUGACACCUCCCUGGGGAGCUUGUUCCAGUGUCCAGCACCCUCUGGGUGAAGAACCUUUUCCUAAUGUCCAACCUAAACUUCCCCUGGCACAUCUUUCUGCCAUUUCCUUGGGUUCUGUUACUGAUCAUCAGAGAGAAGAGCUCAGCCUUGCCCCUCCUGCUCCUGCUGAGGAACCUGCAGCCCCACGAGCUCUGCCCUCAGUCUCCUCUUCUCCAGCUGAACAAACCCAGUGACUUCAGCCACUCCUCAUAUGGCUUCCCCUCCAAACCCUUCACCAACUUUGUAACCACCUCCGGACACUCUCCAGUAGCUUUAUCUCCUUUUUAUCCCAUGCCCCCAGCCCUGCACACAGUGAACGCUCCAAGUGAGGCUGCACCAGUGCAGAGCAGAGCGGGACAAUCCCCUCCCUGCCCGGCUGGCAAUGCUGUGAUGGAUGCACCAGGACACAGAUCCCCCUUGGCUCCAGGGACACUGUUGGCUCAUGUUCAACUUGCCAUCAACAAGGACCCCAAGAUCCCUCUCUGCAGAUCUGCUCUCCAGCAUCUCGUCCCCCAGUCUGUCUGUACAGCCAGGGUUGCUGUGUCCCAGGUGCAAAAUCCGGCACUUGCCGUUGUUGAACCUCACGUAGUUGGUGAUUGUUCAGUUAUCCAAUUUGUCCAGAUCCCUCUGCAGGGCCUCUCUGCCCUUUAGAGUGUUGACAGCUCCUCUUAAUUUUUGUGUCAACGGAGAUGACACGUUUUUUUUGUCUUCCCAAUUUUUUGCCAGUUAAACUAAACCUCCCUGUUUCUGACCAACCCCAUCUGGUUGAAGAUGUACAUACUCAUGGCAGGUAGCCUGGACUAGAUGAGCUUUGAAGGCUCCUUCCAACCCAAACUAUUAAUAUUCUAUGAUUCUAUGACAAUUCUAUGAUUCUGUGAUUCUGCGAUUUUAUGAUUUGGAGACAGGCUGUACAAAAUGCUGCAUGUGAUUCAGUAAGCUGCAUACUUCUUUGGGUGUCGCAUAAACCAUGGACAUAUGUGGACAUCUGUGCAGGUUUUGACAAGGCACAGAGAGGAAUUUAGGGAACAACACUACUGGUAAAGCUCACAUCCUGAAUUAGACUUCUCUUCACACCUGUUUGUGGCUGGAGGGAACACAUAUGAAGUGGGGACUUACCACAGUGUGAAAAAUAAUCCCUUUUCUUUUGGAGGCUGGUGCAGAUCUCAGUGCAGAGGUGCACGGCAUCCUCUCUGGGAAAUGAUGUGUACCGAUAGGAGUCCAUCCCCUCCAAACACUGUCACCAGCUCUCCUGCCCCUGGAUGUCACAGCUGUGGGAUCCUGAUGAGAAGCAAUGUGAUCGUGAAGGGCUAUUGGUCUUCUGCAGCUGAAGAGGCCUGUUAAUACUAUAGUAGUACUGAAGUAAUCAUUCCUUCAGCUCUUUUUGGCCAAGGAUCUGUUAAUUUAAAAAAUACGCUUAAAACUAUGAAAGCCAGAAUUUUCCAGUGGCCUAGUUGAGGAUGCACUAGGUAGAGAAUAUUCUUCCAAAGAUUCUUAAUGGCUCAGAGUCCUUUGUUUUUUCAAAGCAAUGCUGGCACUUAUUUUUAUUUUUUCUUUACUUUGUUAAAUCACCUCUGUGAUUUCCCUAAAUAGUCCCUGAUGCUCUAAACAAAGUACUCCCAGCACCACUUCUCCUCCUCCUGGGUAAUUUAGCUUUCAGAGGGGGAUUAACAAGUCACCAGUCGAUGGAUGUCUCGUGUGCUUAGCUAAACAUUAGCAAAUACAAUUGCUGAGAGAAUACUGAAGUAAUCUAUACGAGAAAAUUCAACUCCUGGGAAAAUACUCCUACUCCCUCACAUAUUUUGCGCAAGUUUUCUGUGCUCUGAACUGGAUCAAUAUUUGUAUAACUAGAAAAUACACUUUGUGCAAGGAAAAAUGUAAUUUUAUAAAUGCAGAAUUGGAGGAAUCAAAAUUUACACUCUUCUCUGUAACUACCUUUGCCUAUUUAAUACAGUGCACUUGUAAACUGUACAGAUAAAUACAAAUAUAAACCAGCCAACCUUUUCUGGAAAUGUACUGAAUCAACUGCUAUAUAUAUAUUAAGGCUCCCUUAAGCUACUUCUCAUACCUGUAAGGCCUGUAAAGGCACUUUAAAACGUGUGGAAAUGUCAUUUAGUCCCAAAUUAGGGACCUCUGCCCUCCAUAAAGUGUAAAAUAGCCUUAGCAAAAAUGCCGGUUAAGUUCACUCUCUUUAACAGAAAGAAUCUGUAUGAGACCGCAAAAUUAUAUCUUUUGUAGUUCUGCAGUGAGCUGAAUUUUCAUUUUAGACUAUUCUCUUAGUAAUAGGAAUAAUCUUUACAUUUUUGUCAGUAUCUCAGUUGUAUAGCAUGGGCCCUGGACAGUUUUUUCUACCAUUAUUUAUUUGUGAAAGGCAAGCUUGACCCUCUAUUUCUCUCUAAAGGAUUAUUUUAUAGACUGCAAUGUAUGUUUUAGAGACUGAUAUAGAAACUGACAGCCUUCUGGAUGUGGGCACCUUUGUCUGAGUGACUUGUAAACUACUGCAACUAAAUGAGAGUUUACCAGCAUGUAAAGUCAUUAGAAAUGCACAGCUGAGUGACUGGGCAUAUUGGAAUGACAUAUUUGAUCUCAUUUGCUGUUUAUUUUAUAUGUUUAGGUUUAUCAGUCAAAUCCCACAAGCUGAGGACAAAAUAUAGAGAUAGUUGUUGAUAUCCACCUGCAGUCCUCUGUUCAAUACGGCAUAUAAUAUGGUAUAGAUAUCAUUUCACAUAAUAUAGAUUAUAAAGCCAUACCUCAGCUGUUACGACCUGUGUGGUUCUUUUAGCAAACUGCCUCAGAAGGCAAAGGAAGACAGCUAUAGUAUGAGGUACUUAUAUACGCACAUAUCUGUAGAUAAUCUGUAUGUAUCUGCCAUGAACAUAAAUGCUUCUCAUUUAAAAAGUGCUUAUCAGCCACAUGAAAUAAAUAUACCUCAUAUAAGCAAAGAAAAAUCUGCCUACAGAUUUCAUACAUACAUUUGUAAACAUAUGCAUCUAAAAAUCUAGAGAUAUUUUACAUAUGAUUAUAUUUACAGAUCAAUCAUAUGUAUUUACCAUGUGAAAUGUAUGUACUUUGCAUGGAAAAACAAUAAAAACAUACGCAAA